CCUACGGGUGGCAGCAGUGAGGAAUAUUGGUCAAUGGACGAGAGUCUGAACCAGCCAAGUAGCGUGAAGGAUGACUGCCCUAUGGGUUGUAAACUUCUUUAGGCGGGGAGCACUGCCGGGCACGCGUGCCCGGAGGGAGAGUACCCGCAGCAUAAGCAUCUGCUAACUCCGUGCAAGCAGCCGCGGUAAUACGGAGGAUGCGAGCGUUAUCCGGAUUUAUUGGGUUUAAAGGGUGCGUAGGCGGAUUUUUAAGUCAGCGGUAAAAUGUCCGGGCUCAACCCGGGCCGGCCGUUGAAACUGGGGAUCUUGAGUGGGCGAGAAGUAUGCGGAAUGCGUGGUGUAGCGGUGAAAUGCAUAGAUAUCACGCAGAACUCCGAUUGCGAAGGCAGCAUACCGGCGCCCGACUGACGCUGAGGCACGAAAGCGUGGGGAUCGAACAGGAUUAGAUACCCUUGUAGUC
rnacentral:rRNA from 1 species